AUACGUAGGGUGCAAGCGUUAAUCGGAAUUACUGGGCGUAAAGCGUGCGCAGGCGGUUUUGUAAGACAGUGGUGAAAUCCCCGGGCUCAACCUGGGAACUGCCAUUGUGACUGCAAGGCUGGAGUGCGGCAGAGGGGGGUGGAAUUCCGCGUGUAGCAGUGGAAUGCGUAGAUAUGCGGAGGAACACCGAUGGCGAAGGCAAUCCCCUGGGCCUGCACUGACGCUCAUGCACGAAAGCGUGGGGAGCAAACAGGAUUAGAUACCCUGGUAGUCCACGCCCUAAACGAUGUCAACUGGUUGUUGGGGAUUUAUUUUCUCAGUAACGAAGCUAAAGCGUGAAGUUGACCGCCUGGGGAGUACGGCCGCAAGGUUAAAACUCAAAUGAAUUGGCGGGG
rnacentral:rRNA from 1 species